UAUGUAAGAGGUAUUCUAUUCGCUCAAUAUUUCGGAUAACAAUGAUAACGUUCAGUAAGUUAGAUUUUGAUUUUGAUUUUGAGACGUCUGAUGUAUCAAUUAUGCACAGUAAGUAAGAGUAUAUUGGUUCACAGCAAUUACAGUAUUCGGCAGUAAAUUAUAUUCUGAUAUUGAGGCAUCUAGUAUAUCAAUUACGCACGUAAAUAAGCAGGAGUUUUUUAUUAGAUCGAUCUUUCGGAUAAUGAUAAUAACAACAUAGAGUAAGUUAGAUUCUGACUUUGAGGCGUAAAUAAUUAGGUUCUAAUUUUGAGACCUCUGAUAUAUCAAUUACGCACGUCCGAAAGUAGGCGUAUUCUGUUAGAUCGAUCUUUCAGGUAAUAAUAAUAAUAACAAAAUUAGUAAGUUAGAUUCUGAUUUUGAGGGGCCUGGCAUAUCAAUUACGCACAUUAAGUAGGAGAAUUCUGUCAGAUCAAUAUAUAUACUAGUUAAUAACAAACACAUGAUCAAUUACGUACGUAAAUAAGUAGGAGUAUUCUGUUAGGUAGAUCGAUCUUUUGGAUAAUAAUAAUGAUAAUAAUAGCAACGAUUGAUCGAUUGAUUGAUUGAGUAAGUU
rnacentral:lncRNA from 1 species